AACGAACGCUGGCGGCAGGCCUAACACAUGCAAGUCGAGCGAGGACUUCGGUCCUAGCGGCGGACGGGUGAGUAACGCGUGGGAACGUACCCUUUGCUACGGAAUAGCCCCGGGAAACUGGGAGUAAUACCGUAUGUGCCCUCUGGGGGAAAGAUUUAUCGGCAAAGGAUCGGCCCGCGUUGGAUUAGGUAGUUGGUGGGGUAAUGGCCUACCAAGCCGACGAUCCAUAGCUGGUUUGAGAGGAUGAUCAGCCACACUGGGACUGAGACACGGCCCAGACUCCUACGGGAGGCAGCAGUGGGGAAUCUUAGACAAUGGGGGCAACCCUGAUCUAGCCAUGCCGCGUGAGUGAUGAAGGCCCUAGGGUUGUAAAGCUCUUUCAGCUGGGAAGAUAAUGACGGUACCAGCAGAAGAAGCCCCGGCUAACUCCGUACCAGCAGCCGCGGUAAUGUCAG
rnacentral:rRNA from 1 species